UACAGAGGUGGCAAGCGUUUGUCCGGAAUCAUUGGGCGUAAAGCGCGCGUAGGUGGCUUCAUAAGUCCGUUGUGAAAGUCAAAGGCUCAACCUUUGAAAGCCGAUGGAUACUGUGGAGCUAGAGUACGGAAGAGGCGAGUGGAAUUCCUGGUGUAGCGGUGAAAUGCGCAGAUAUCAGGAGGAACACCAAUUGCGAAGGCAGCUCGCUGGGACGUUACUGACGCUGAGACGCGAAAGCGUGGGGAGCAAACAGG
rnacentral:rRNA from 1 species